GAAUGUAUCCCAAGAAAUCAGAGACGCUGAUUGGAAGGAAUAUACGCACUGCUAUGGUCAUUACCGUGUUAUUUACAAUACUAAGAUGUGGAAGCAGCCCAUGUGCCCAUCAAUAGAUGAGUGGAUAAAAAUGCUUUGGUACAUUGGCAGAAUGGAAUACUACUUGGCUGUGUAAAAGAAGGGAAUCUUAACUGUUUGUGACAGCGUGGAUGGACCUGGAGAGCAUUAGGAUUCAAUUAACAAAACGGGAACAACAUUGUUACACAAGCUACAACAUGGAUGAACCUUGAAGACAAUUUCAGUGCAAAAGCCAGUCAAAGAAGACAACUACUGUGUGAUUCCACUCACAUGUUUUCCCUUGGGUCAUCUGAGUCAGAAAGGAAAGGCAGGAUUUAGGUACCAGUGGUGGUGGGGCUGGGCUUAGCGAUGCAGUGUUGUUUACUGGGGGAAGAGUUUCAGUUGGAGAAGAUGGGGAAAGUGAUGGAUAUGAUGGUGGUGUGGCCAGCACCUCAGUAUGAAUAUCCUUAACACCACUGCACUGUGUACCGCAAAACAGUGGAAAUGGUAAAUUUCAUUGUGAUAAAACUAUGGAAAAAAGAGAGAGGAAACGAAGGCCAGCUCUUAAAAUAGAACCAUGGUGAGAUGUGCUCAGGCUACCUGAAUUCCCGCUCCCAGGAGCCCCCUGGACACAUAGUGAUGAGAAGAGCCUGGGGUGUGGGGUCUGUUGAGAAACCCUGGGCAAGCCUUGGCUCCCUCCUGUCCACCCACAGGCCUGUUAAUAGAAGCAGAGACGCUGCGUUCGGGUCACCAUUGUGUGCAGUUGUGAAAGGAACACAGCAUUCCAGCUCAGCAUCCUGCCUGAUGCCCAACCCCUGCUGCUGAGGAUGGAACCCCCCAUGGCAACCCCACCUGCCACCCGUGCCACCCAGCUGCCCUUGGAGGAGACCGAUGAGAAGUGCCAACGGCUUAAAUGGGCCUCUUUUAAUGUUUACAUUAAUAAAGAUUUUAACCUCAAA